AUGGCGACCGGCGCACGGGUGAGUAACGCGUAUGCAACCUGCCCGAUACCGGGGUAUAGCCCAUGGAAACGUGGAUUAACACCCCAUAGUACUUUUAUCCUGCCUGGGAUGGGAGUUAAAUGUUCAAGGUAUCGGAUGGGCAUGCGUCCUAUUAGUUAGUUGGCGGGGUGACAGCCCACCAAGACGAUGAUAGGUAGGGGUUCUGAGAGGAAGGUCCCCCACAUUGGAACUGAGACACGGUCCAA
rnacentral:rRNA from 1 species